rnacentral:rRNA from 1 species
GACGAACGCUGGCGGCGUGCCUAAUACAUGCAAGUCGAGCGAAGUUUUUCUGGUGCUUGCACCGGAAAAACUUAGCGGCGAACGGGUGAGUAACACGUAAAGAACCUGCCUCAUAGACUGGGACAACUAUUGGAAACGAUAGCUAAUACCGGAUAACAGCAUUAACUGCAUGGUUGAUGUUUAAAAGUUGGUUUUGCUAACACUAUGAGAUGGCUUUGCGGUGCAUUAGCUAGUUGGUGGGGUAAGGCCUACCAAGGCGACGAUGCAUAGCCGACCUGAGAGGGUGAUCGGCCACACUGGGACUGAGACACGGCCCAGACUCCUACGGGAGGCAGCAGUAGGGAAUCUUCCGCAAUGGGCGAAAGCCUGACGGAGCAACGCCGCGUGAGUGAAGAAGGAUUUCGGUUCGUAAAGCUCUGUUGUUAGGGAAGAAUGAUUGUGUAGUAACUAUACACAGUAGAGACGGUACCUAACCAGAAAGCCACGGCUAACUACGUG